ACUUGUACCGACUGGAUGAGCAGCGAACGGGUGAGUAACGCGUGGGGAAUCUGCCUUUGAGCGGGGGACAACAUUUGGAAACGAAUGCUAAUACCGCAUAAAAACUUUAAACACAAGUUUUAAGUUUGAAAGAUGCAAUUGCAUCACUCAAAGAUGAUCCCGCGUUGUAUUAGCUAGUUGGUGAGGUAAAGGCUCACCAAGGCGAUGAUACAUAGCCGACCUGAGAGGGUGAUCGGCCACAUUGGGACUGAGACACGGCCCAAACUCCUACGGGAGGCAGCAGUAGGGAAUCUUCGGCAAUGGACGAAAGUCUGACCGAGCAACGCCGCGUGAGUGAAGAAGGUUUUCGGAUCGUAAAACUCUGUUGGUAGAGAAGAACGUUGGUGAGAGUGGAAAGCUCAUCAAGUGACGGUAACUACCCAGAAAGGGACGGCUAACUACGUGCCAGCAGCCGCGGUAAUACGUAGGUCCCGAGCGUUGUCCGGAUUUAUUGGGCGUAAAGCGAGCGCAGGUGGUUUAUUAAGUCUGGUGUAAAAGGCAGUGGCUCAACCAUUGUAUGCAUUGGAAACUGGUAGACUUGAGUGCAGGAGAGGAGAGUGGAAUUCCAUGGGUAGCGGUGG
rnacentral:rRNA from 1 species